rnacentral:rRNA from 1 species
UACAGAGGCCUCGAGCGUUAGGCGGAAUCACUGGGCUUAAAGCGUGUGUAGGCGGACUUCUAAGUACCUUGUGAAAUCCCACGGCUUACCCGUGGAACGGCUGGGUAUACUGGUUGUCUUGAGCCACUUAGGGGCUACCGGAACAAAUGGUGGAGCGGUGAAAUGCGUAGAUAUCAUUUGGAACGCCAAUGGUGAAAACAGGUAGCUGGGAGUGUGCUGACGCUGAGACACGAAAGCCAGGGGGAGCGAACGGG